AUUGAACGCUGGCGGCAGGCCUAACACAUGCAAGUCGAACGGUAACAGGAAGAAGCUUGCUUCUUUGCUGACGAGUGGCGGACGGGUGAGUAAUGUCUGGGAAACUGCCUGAUGGAGGGGGAUAACUACUGGAAACGGUAGCUAAUACCGCAUAACGUCGCAAGACCAAAGAGGGGGACCUUCGGGCCUCUUGCCAUCGGAUGUGCCCAGAUGGGAUUAGCUAGUAGGUGGGGUAACGGCUCACCUAGGCGACGAUCCCUAGCUGGUCUGAGACGAUGACCAGCCACACUGGAACUGAGACACGGUCCAGACUCCUACGGGAGGCAGCAGUGGGGAAUAUUGCACAAUGGGCGCAAGCCUGAUGCAGCCAUGCCGCGUGUAUGAAGAAGGCCUUCGGGUUGUAAAGUACUUUCAGCGGGGAGGAAGGGAGUAAAGUUAAUACCUUUGCUCAUUGACGUUACCCGCAGAAGAAGCACCGGCUAACUCCGUG
rnacentral:rRNA from 1 species